CGAGAGUCUUUGUCAUGUUGGAAUCCUGAUUGCAUUGGUUUUAAUCUCAUUGAGUGUCUUUUGUGUGAUAUAUGCGAGAAUGAGAGGCCUGGUUCUGUUCUAGUUUUUAUGACUGGAUGGGAUGACAUUAGUUCUCUGAAGGAUAAGCUCCUAUCACAUCCUAUUUUAGGAGAUCCAGGUCGAGUGUCGUUGCUCACUUGCCAUGGUUCUAUGGCUAAUU
rnacentral:misc_RNA from 1 species